AUCGAACGCUGGCGGCAGGCCUAACACAUGCAAGUCGAGCGAGCGGCGGACGGGUGAGUAAUGGAUGGGGACUGCCCGCUAGAGGGGGGUAACUACUGGAAACGGUGACUAAUACCACAUACUGUCGGAUAACCCAUAUGGGAUUAGCUGGUGGGUAAGGUAAUGGCUUACCUAGGCGACGAUCCCUAGCUGGUCUGAGAGGAUGAUCAGCCACACUGGGACGGAGCAACGGCCCAGACUCCUACGGAGGCAGCAGGGGGGAAUAUUGCACAAGGGGCGCAAGCCUGAUGCAGCCAUGCCGCGUGUAUGAAGAAGGCCCUAGGGUUGUAAAGUACUUUCAGUCGUGAGGCGUUACCGACAGAAGAAGCACCGGCUAACUCCGUGCCAGCAGCCGCGGUAAUUC
rnacentral:rRNA from 1 species